rnacentral:rRNA from 1 species
CCCGGCGACCGACGGCACGCGGAGCAACACGUAUGCAACCUGGCCGCCACAGGGGGAUAACCCGCGGAAACGCGGCCUAAUACCCCGUGACGCCACCGGAGGGCAUCCUCCGGUGGCCAAAGGAGCGAUCCGGUGGCGGAUGGGCAUGCGGCGCAUUAGCUAGACGGCGGGGUGACGGCCCACCGUGGCGACGAUGCGUAGGGGUUCUGAGAGGAAGGCCCCCCACACUGGGACUGAGACACGGCCCAGACUCCUACGGAAGGCAGCAG